GUUUGGUAGGGCAAGAGGGCAGGUGGGUGCAAUGUUUCUUCUUUUGAUGUGUUCUUGUCUUCACCUCAGGGACCUGGACGCCCUGCCUGUUGAGGCAAGGUUGUGGAUGUCCCGGGCCUUAUGGUCCCUGCUUCGCAUGAUGUGGGGCAGCAUCCAUCUGAACGCUCAUCACUACCAAGGCCAAGGUUUUGAAAGGAAGUCCUUCUUCUCCCAUCUUAGUAUUAGACCAUCGGAUUUGGGACACGGGACUAAGGCCGCUGACUCUGCAUCCCUUACAAUCAUACACAGCUGCCUGCCCUUUUGCCUUGUGGCCAUCCUGGAGCGGCCUUCUGCAAGAUUCUAUGUUACCUGUCCUCGGUCCACUUGGAAUCUCUUGAGAGAGCCGAGUCCUGUGUGUUCCUAGGCCCUGCCACAGGGACCUGGACGCCCUGCCUGUUGAGGCAAGGUUGUGGAUGUGCCGGGCCUUAUGGUCCCUGCUUCGCAUGAUGUGGGGCAGUAUCCAUCUGAACGCUCAUCACUACCAAGGCCAAGGUUUUGGAAGGAAGUCCUUCUUCUCCCAUCUUAGUAUUAGACUAUCGUAUUUGGGACACGGGACUAAGGCCGCUAACUCUGCAUCCCUUACAAGCAUACACAGCUGCCUGCCCUUUUGCCUUGUGUCCAUCCUGGAGCGGCCUUCUGCAAGAUUCUAUGUUACCUGUCCUCGGUCCACUUGGAAUCUCUUGAGAGAGCCGAGUCCUGUGUGUUCCUAGGCCCUGCCACAGGUAGGUGGGUAUCCACAGAGGAUACAGAGAGUUCCAUGCCUGACAGGGUCUUGGGGAAGUUAGAGAAAGGAAAGAGAAGUUUCCUGAGU